rnacentral:pre_miRNA from 1 species
UAUUAAAAAUUUCAUCCAUUUCUACUGUUAAUGAUGCUACUCAUAGAAUAAUCAGAUAAUGACACGUGGUAUCCCGCAUGUACCUCAUGUGGAUGUUCAGGGAUAAGUUUUUAAUAGUAAAAAAAUUGGUGAACUUUUUAAUA